UACAGAGGUCUCAAGCGUUGUUCGGAUUCAUUGGGCGUAAAGGGUGCGUAGGCGGCGCGGUAAGUCGGGUGUGAAAUCUCGGAGCUUAACUCCGAAACUGCAUUCGAUACUGCCGUGCUUGAGGACUGGAGAGGAGACUGGAAUUUACGGUGUAGCAGUGAAAUGCGUAGAUAUCGUAAGGAAGACCAGUGGCGAAGGCGGGUCGUCUG
rnacentral:rRNA from 1 species